rnacentral:rRNA from 1 species
GGCGAACGGGUGAGUAAUGCUUAGGAAUCUACCCAGUAGUGGGGGACAACCCGGGGAAACUCGGGCUAAUACCGCAUACGCUCUACGGAGGAAAGCGGGGGAUCUUCGGACCUCGCGCUAUUGGAUGAGCCAAAGUCGGAUUAGCUUGUUGGUAGGGUAAAGGCCUACCAAGGCGACGAUCCGUAGCUGGUCUGAGAGGACGAUCAGCCACACUGGGACUGAGACACGGCCCAGACUCCUACGGGAGGCAGCAGUGGGGAAUAUUGGACAAUGGGCGCAAGCCUGAUCCGGCAAUGCCGCGUGUGUGAAGAAGGCCUGCGGGUUGUAAAGCACUUUCAGUAGGGAAGAAAAGCCUAGGGUUAAUACCCCUGAGUCUUGACGUUACCUACAGAAGAAGCACCGGCUAACUCCGUGCCAGCAGCCGCGGUAAUACGGAGGGUGCAAGCGUCAAUCGGAAUUACAGGGCGUAAAGGGCACGCAGGUGGCUUGGCAAGUCGGAUGUGAAAGCCCCGGGCUUAACCUGGGAACUGCAUUCGAUACUGUCGAGCUAGAGUAU